rnacentral:rRNA from 1 species
CCUACGGGCGGCAGCAGUAGGGAAUUUUCGGCAAUGGGGGGAACCCUGACCGAGCAACGCCGCGUGAACGAAGAAGUUAUUCGUAAUGUAAAGUUCUUUUAACAGGGAAGAAAGAGAAAUUUGACGGUACCUGAAGAAUAAGCUCCGUCAAACUGCGUGCCAGCAGCCGCGGUAAUACGUAGGGACCGAGCGUUAUCCGGAAUUAUUGGGCGAAAAGGGUGCGUAGAUGGCAGAGUAAGUCUUUGGUAAAAAUGCUGGGCUAAACCCAGUAGGGCAAAAGAUACUGGAAAGCUAGAGUAGGACUGAGGCAAGUGGAACUAGAGGUGUAGCGGUAAAAUGCGUAAAUAUAUGUAAGAACACCAGUGGCGAAGGCGGCUUGCUGGGUCGAUACUGACAUUGAGGCACGAAAGCGUGGGGAGCAAACAGGAUUAGAUACCCCUGUAGUC